AGAGGCGGUUUGGAGACAUAUUUGGGCCCAAACCCAGAGGCGAGGUGGUUUAGGUGGGAGAGAGAAAAGGAGGAGGAGUUGGAUAUCCUUGUUCCUCCGUUCCCCUUACCUCGCGCCGCCGCCACCGGACCAACCCACAACAAUCCAGUCCCCUCUGUCUCUCCUUGGCCGCCUGCGAUGGCGCGGGUGUCCAACCCUUGCCAUCCGGAUCUCCGGAUCUACGAGCCGAAUUUCGCUUCCGAGCAACCCCGGCUCAAGGAAGAGUCUAAGUCCAGAUCUUAUCUGCUGCAGAAAAUCCGCUCCUACUACGGCAAGGCGCAGAAGCUGCUCGGGCGCAGCCACCGCCUGCAGGGCCUCUGCGUCGGCCUCCUCGACCCGGCAUCCAACAUCGUGAUCAACAGUCUCAUCGAGCGCAAGCACGAGCGCGAGCGCGACCGCGACCAUAGAUCUACCACCUGCGAGGUUGUGGUAGAGGAUGACCUGAAGCGCCGGUCGCUUGACGGCAUGGUUGUCUUCCUCACCCGCUUAUUCCCCAACCUGUCGGAGGGCCUGGCCGUGCGCUACCUGCGACUCGCCAAGGCGGACGUCCUCAUUGCCGCCUGCAUCGUCGUGUCGGAUCAGUGCAUCGAGGGUUUCGAUGCCUCCGGCCCAGACGUCAUCAACAUGGCCCUCAGGUGCGCCGGGCUGGCCGCCAGGCACCCCGACGCCUACCGCUUCGUCUUCUCCUGGUGCAACAUCUCCAGCCGCAUAGACGACGCCCUGCGCCUCCUCGCCGCGUUGCACGAACCGCAAAGGUUGCGCCGCUCUGACGCCAUUAUUAAGCUCGUCCAUAUGCUUAACUAUGAACCGCCGUCCCGUGAAAGAGAUGUGUGGCUUGUGUGGCGGCUCGCAGAAGCUUCUUUUCGCCGUCGUCCCCGCAGCGCGCCGCAACUGCACACCAACUUGCUCAACCGGACGCUCCAGGACACCAUCCACGGGUACUACCUCCAGGCCCUUGCCCUGCUGCCACCAGGCUCUCGCUUCCACCGCAGCCUGAUUAAGGCCGGCUACUGCUACGGCCCGUUCGACCCCGUCUCCAACAUCAUCAUCAACACCAUCUGGUAUGAUGCCAAUUUCCCACCCUCCAUGAAACUCGAGCUGGAUGUCAUGGGCACGCGGAGCCUCCACAGGGUGGAGAACCGCUCCUUGUACGGCAUGGUCUCCUUCCUCUGCACACGUUACCAUGAACUUGAUUUCCAUCAAGCCGUGCGCUGCCUGCUCCAGGCAGAUGCCAACCUUGUGCUCGCUGAUCCCAACCUUGUGACUGAUACUAACCUUGUCUACGACUUUGGUAUCGUGAGAGAUGUGCUGAGGCAUGGACCAGCCUCUGCCUUUCGUUGCAAGCUCCAAACUCAAGCCCCCCCCCAACACUGGUCUCACUGUAGGACACCCGGACACUGGUAUUGAGGAAGCCUUCUUGGCCGCCGCCACCGCGGCCUGUCACCCCAACCCAGACACUCAAGCACAGCUUCUCACUUCUUGUUGCAAGGUGAACCCGAGUCCUGUCUUGUCUCUGCUGCCUAUUGACUCUCACAAGCUCUCCUUUCAAGAUUUAAGCCUGCUUGCCAGGUUUCUAUCUUGCAAUCCCCUCUAUGAGUAUGACAAGGCACUUCCACUUCCCCCAGUCCCCCUCAAAUGUUACCCACGUGCAGAGCUAGCGAGCCUGUAUACAGUCAUCUCCAAGGAGGUCAAUGCUCUGCUGAAUAAAUAUCAACAGAUGCCAAACGGGGAUCCCAAGUUCAAGCUUCAUAUGAUUUGUGUUGUGAAUGAUCGGGUCCGCGGCCCUGCUCCAUGGCCUCCUCAUCGCCAUGGCCACUCUCACGUCAACUUCGUGGCUACUUCCAAAAGCCCUGGUGGUGAAGCUCCUACUUUAUUUUUUGCUGAAAUUAAUGCUGACAACCGAAGCAUGUCCUUCUGUUGCCCUGUGGAUCUGCCGCCGCCAUGUGCUGCGCAAAUUCCUUGUAUUUACUGUGAAUCCAUGGGGACUCGAAUUGUGCAUCCGGUCGGGAUACACUUCACUGGGCGUGACUCGGAGUUUGAGAACAUGGCCUGUGAAAAAGACCCCCUUGGGCGUGUGUAUGCAACCAUGAGAAUCAUCAACCAUAGGCGUGGCAUGGCGGAGAGCGUCCAUGUUAACGUGAAAGAAGAUAGCCUCUAUGAUGGCAUGGAUGGGCACAAGAGUAAGUAUGACAUCGAGACGGGUUCCUUGAGCAUGAAAGAAUACGUGUUAUUGAUACCAGCUUUGAUAUGACCCCUUGUGAUAUAAAUACCGAGGUCAUUGUUGUUUUGCCUGAAGCCGGUGUUGUCCAAAAAUACGCUACAUAUACAUCGGAAUACCUGAUGACAAGUUACAACGAUGAACAAGAAUUACUCGUUAUUCCUGUGAAGCACACUACAUGGUUCCAGCUAGAAGGGCUGAGAGAGGACAAGAAAUUCUACGUGUUUCCAGGCAAAAAUGCAUGCACGUACAAAUAUUUUGGAGGGCUUGGUUUGCAUGAUACACACGAAGGUUCAUGUUCAUUAAUAGAUGAUCAAGGCAUUAAGGAGAAGGUUGCAGAUUUCCUAUUUCUAUUCUUCCCACACAAAGAGAAGUUCCAGGCAGAAGCGAGCAGGACGUGUGAUGCAUGGCGUUUACUUUCCUUGAAAGAAGUCGGUUGGGGUCCACCUGAAGAUCGAGAUGCACUAGAAGAUGCAUGGCGCACCAAUCCAAUUAGAGUCCAUAAUCAUCCCGAUGGUAGAGUCCAAAUUAGGUUAAAGUUUCCUUUUAUUUUAUUGUUUGGCCGUGUAAGUCGUAUAGGGAUAUAUUUGUUUUUUUUAGACUUGUUAUAACGUGUGUGCGAGAGGGCAAUAGGCCAAUUAGUGUCCGGCUAUUAUGUAUAGCUAUGGGGCGUUCAUUGUACGGGCAGGUGAUAUUUUUAUGAAAUAGACACGAUGUGUUUUUCAGGGUAGACACCCGUA